rnacentral:rRNA from 1 species
GACGAACGCUGGCGGCGCGCUUAACACAUGCAAGUCGAGCGAAGCGGCGGACGGGUAAGUAACACGUGAGUAACCUACCUGAGACAUUGGGAUAGCCUCGGGAAACCGGGAUUAAUAACAAAUGGUCUAAGAUGGACUCGCGUCCCAUUAGCUAGUUGGUGGGGUAACGGCCCUCCAAGGCGACGAUGGGUAGCCGGAAUGAGAGGGUGAACGGGCACAUUGUAGCUGGGAAACGUUCCAAACUCUACGGGUGGAAGCAGUGUGGAAUAUUGCACGAUGGAGGGAACUCUAAGGCAGCGGGGCCGCGUGAACGAAGAAGGCUUUCGGGUCGUAAAGUUCUUUUAUAUGGGAAGGGGUACCAUAAGAAAAAGCCCGGGUUAAUUACGUGCCAGCAGCGGCGGUAAUC